rnacentral:rRNA from 1 species
GGGGGGGGGGGGGGGGGGGGCGGGGGGGGGGGGGGGGGGGGGCGGGGGGGUGCGGGGGGGCGGGUGCGGGGGGCGGGUGGGGGGGUGGGGAGGGGUGGCUCGGAGUCUAGUGUGUCGUGGGGGAUAGCGUGGUGGCACUGCCGCUAAUACCGCAGCCGACCUACGGGUGAAAGCAUGGGAUCUUCGGCCCUUGCGCUAUAGAAUGAGCCGAUGUCGGAUUAGGUAGUUUGCGGGGUACAGGCCCACCAAGGCGACGCUCCGUAGCUGUUCUGAGAGGAUGAUCAGCCACACUGGAACUGAGACACGGUCCAGACUCCUACGGGAGGCAGCAGUGGGGAAUAUUGGACAAUGGGCGCAAGCCUGAUCCAGCCAUACCGCGUGGGUGAAGAAGGCCUUCGGGUUGUAAAGCCCUUUUGUUGGGAAAGAAAAGCAGCAGGUUAAUACCCCGCUGUUCUGACGGUACCCAAAGAAUAAGCACCGGCUAACUUCGUG